CCUACGGGUGGCAGCAGUGGGGAAUAUUGCACAAUGGGCGCAAGCCUGACGCAGCCAUGCCGCGUGUGUGAAGAAGGCCUUCGGGUUGUAAAGCACUUUCAGCGGGGAGGAAGGCGUUAAGGUUAAUAACCUUGUCGAUUGACGUUACCCGCAGAAGAAGCACCGGCUAACUCCGGGCCAGCAGCCGCGGUAAUACGGAGGGUGCAAGCGUUAAUCGGAAUUACUGGGCGUAAAGCGCACGCAGGCGGUCUGUCAAGUCGGAUGUGAAAUCCCCGGGCUCAACCUGGGAACUGCAUUCGAAACUGGCAGGCUAGAGUCUUGUAGAGGGGGGUAGAACUCCAGGUGUAGCGGUGAAAUGCGUAGAGAUCUGGAGGAAUACCGGUGGCGAAGGCGGCCCCCUGGACAAAGACCGACGCUCAGGUGCGAAAGCGUGGGGAGCAAACAGGAUUAGAUACCCGUGUAGUC
rnacentral:rRNA from 1 species